rnacentral:rRNA from 1 species
AAACUAACUAGGAUGCCUUCAGUAACGGCGAGCGAAGCAGGCAUAGCUCAAAUUUGUAAUCUGGCACCUUUGGUGUCCGAGUUGUAUUUUCUAGAAGCGAGUUCGGCGACAGCUCCUACCCAAGUCCGUUGGAACGCGGCGUCAUGGAGGGUGAGAAUCCCGUGAACGGUAGGAUGUCUGCUGCUAUGUGAACCGCCUUCGAAGAGUCGAGUUGUUUGGGAAUGCAGCUCUAAAUGGGAGGUAAAUUUCUUCUAAAGCUAAAUAUUGGCCAGAGACCGAUAGCGAACAAGUAGAGUGAUCGAAAGAUGAAAAGAACUUUGAAAAGAGAGUUAAACAGUACGUGAAAUUGUUGAAAGGGAAGCGCUUGAGAUCAGACUUCCUGUCUGGACUGUCCUUGCUUAUGCUUGGAUCAACAGUCCAGGCGUGGAGGCCAGCAUCAGUUUUGACGGCCGGAUAAAGGCCUUGGAAAGGUAGCUCCCCUCGGGGAGUGUUAUAGUCCAGGGUGUAAUACGGCCAGUUGGGACUGAGGACCGCGGCUUUUUGCCUAGGAUGCUGGCGUAAUGGUCUUAAGCGAC